UACGAAGGGGGCUAGCGUUGCUCGGAAUCACUGGGCGUAAAGGGUGCGUAGGCGGGUCUUUAAGUCAGGGGGGAAAUCCUGGAGCUCAACUCCAGAACUGCCUUUGAUACUGAAGAUCUUGAGUCCGGAAGAGGAGAGUGGAAUUCCUGGUGUAGCGGUGAAAUGCGCAGAUAUCAGGAAGAACACCCGUGGCGAAGGCGGCUCUCUGGGACGGUACUGACGCUGAGACGCGAAAGCGUGGGGAGCGAACAGG
rnacentral:rRNA from 1 species